rnacentral:rRNA from 1 species
UGGGGAAUCUUGCGCAAUGGGCGAAAGCCUGACGCAGCCAUGCCGCGUGAAUGAUGAAGGUCUUAGGAUUGUAAAAUUCUUUCAGCAGGGACGAUAAUGACGGUACCUGCAGAAGAAGCCCCGGCUAACUUCGUGCCAG